ACCGACAAACCAUCUUUGCAGGAGGCAGUGGGAUUGGAGGUGGGUUUUUCCUAUUUUUUUUUUCCUAUUUUUUUUCCCUUUUUUUUUUUUUUUUUCCCUUUUUUUCCCUCCCACCCCCCAAGAAACUCAGGAUGCACAGACUUCUGGCCAAGGCAUUGCAAGAAUAUACCAAAAAUAGAAAGAAAGAAACUGUCUGGAGAAGGAGACAGGACUGUGGAUUCUCCUGGAUUGAUUUUCACCAUGCGUUUCAACACCCUGAGCCUAGGAACUAAAGCUUUUCCUGGUGCAGUUCAGCUGCCCUGGGUGGAUUUACUGCACAGCCAACGCGAUGCAAAGAGGCUGACUCGAGGCACAGAGCAAGAGAUGGACAAUGUGGGGCUGCUGCUGGUGGAGAGGGUUCAGGCACCGUGCUGGGGAAGUCAGAGGACGUGCAAGACCUGCGAUCCAUAGUGUAGCACUAAGCAAUGGCACCAGAGGGCUUGACUUGCAGAUGGGCUCUUGGGCACUAAAUGUUGAAUUGCA